GUUCAGUAUUUGAUACAUCCCUCGAUGCACCAUCGGUCGCGCAUGCGGCACGUCGAUCGUCGUGGUGUCAUCAGAUAACAAUUGUUUUGACCAUGGAGCUAUUGUUUGGCCGUGGUUUUACACACAGACUCAUAAAAUUGUGAUAGGCAUUUACAGGAUAACUAGUUUAGUACUAGAAACCUUCGAAAGAAUGUCAAUUGCGUCCUGAAUUCAUGACGUGUAUCCUCGAGCUCGACGCAGCUAAUAACGCCGGGGGUCUUAGCUGGAGUUACCUAUAGACAACCCAAUGAUAAAACUCAGGGCUGGGUAACUCCAGCUACGGGGGUCUGACGAUGUCAUCAGAUAAGACUUUGAAUGAUGUUAUUUGACCCUGAAAAUUGGGAAUCAGCCAAAGCAGUCCUGUAUGGCGGUCGUGUGGAAAGGAUGCAACCGUGUGGGAUGGCCGUCACUACAAGCAGUCACUUCUUGAGACACCAAAUCCUGUCACACAAGGCCAAUGGAUGGUUGGUGCAUUUUCACUGAGUUUGAAUGUGGUAGGAUUCUAAGGAAUCUAGAGCCAGGGAUGAAGCGGAAGCCACAACGAAGCCAGGGUUUCAUAAACACCACAGAAAGUUGGU